AGAGUUUAUGGGGGAUACCUUGGCAUUCAGAAGCGAUGAAGGACGCGGUUACCAGCGAAAUGCUUCGGGUAGUUGGAAACAAGCUAUGAUCCGGAGGUCUCCGAAUGAGGAAACUUUUUGUACUACUUAUUGAAUAAAUAGAUAAGAAAGAGCCAACCUAGGGAACUGAAACAUCUUAGUACCUAGAGGAAAAGAAAGUAAAAAACGAUUCCCUUAGUAGCGGCGAGCGAAACGGGAGGAGCCUAAACUUAAUUUUAUUAAGGGUAGUGGGACAAUUGUUAAUCGAUUAGGACAAUUAGGUGAACAAGUUGGAAUACUUGACCAAAGAAAGUGAUAGUCUUGUAAUCGAAAAUUGAAAUAAUCAAAUUGAAUCCCAAGUAGCAUGGAGCACGUGAAAUUCCGUGUGAAUCUGCGAGGACCACCUCGUAAGGCUAAAUAUUCCUGAAUGACCGAUAGUGAACAGUACCGUGAGGGAAAGGUGAAAAGAACCCCGGGAGGGGAGUGAAAAGAACAUGAAACCAUAAACUUACAAUCAGUAGGAGGACGACUAAAACGUCUGACUGCGUGCCUGUUGAAGAAUGAGCCGGCGACUUAUAGGUAGUGGCAGGUUAAGGCAAAGAAUGCCGGAGCCAUAGUGAAAGCGAGCCUGAAUAGGGCAUAUGUCACUGGUUAUAGACCCGAACCCGGAUGAUCUAACCAUGGUCAGGUUGAAGCUUAGGUAAUACUAAGUGGAGGACCGAACCGACUGAUGUUAGAAAAAUCAGCGGAUGAACUGUGGUUAGGGGUGAAAUGCCAAUCGAAUUCGGAGCUAGCUGGUUCUCCCCGAAAUGCGUUUUGGCGCAGCGAUAAAUGUUAUAACUUAGGGGUAAAGCACUGUUACGUAUGCGGGCUGGUAAUUCGGUACCAAAUCGUUGCAAACUAAGAAUACUAAGUGUAGAGUUUAUCAGUGAGACUGUGGGGGAUAAGCUCCAUUGUCAAGAGGGAAACAGCCCAGAGCACCAGUUAAGGCCCCUAAAUAAUUACUAAGUGAUAAAGGAGGUGGGAGUGCAUAGACAAUCAGGAGGUUUGCUUAGAAGCAGCAAUCCUUUAAAGAGUGCGUAAUAGCUCACUGAUCGAGUAAACCUGCGCCGAAAAUGUACGGGACUAAGUAAUUUGCCGAAACUGUGCGAUAUAUUUAAAAUAUAUCGGUAGGGGAGCGUUCUGUUGUAGAUUGAAGUAUUAACGUAAGUGGAUAUGGACGAAGCAGAAGUGAGAAUGUCGGCUUGAGUAACGAAAAUAUAGGUGAGAAUCCUAUACCCCGAAAACCCAAGGUUUCCUCCGGAAGGCUCGUCCGCGGAGGGUAAGUCAGGACCUAAGGCGAGGCUGAAAAGCGUAGUCGAUGGAUAACGGGUUAAUAUUCCCGUACCAUUAUUUAUUGAUAACGAGGGACGGAGAAGGCUAAGCUGGCCGGAUAUUGGUUACCGGUUUAAACGUUCGAGGUGUUGAGAAACGGAGAAAACGUUUUGAGCUAAGACGUGAAUACGAGAUGCUACGGCAUUGAAGCAGUGUAUGUCAGACUUCCAAGAAAAGCUCGCAAUGUCUUAAAUAAAUAAUGCCUGUACCAUAACCGACACAGGUGGGUAGGUAGAGUAUACUAAGGGGCGCGAGAUAACUCUCUCUAAGGAACUCGGCAAAAUGACUCCGUAACUUCGGGAGAAGGAGUGCCUUAUUUAUAAGGUUGCAAUAACAAGAUCCAAGCAACUGUUUACCAAAAACACAGGUCUCCGCUAAGUCGUAAGACGAUGUAUGGGGGCUGACGCCUGCCCAGUGCCAGAAGGUUAAAGAAGUUGGUUAGCAUUCGCGAAGCUGAUAACUGAAGCCCUGGUGAACGGCGGCCGUAACAAUAACGGUCCUAAGGUAGCGAAAUUCCUUGUCGGGUAAGUUCCGACCCGCACGAAAGGCGUAAUGAUUUGGAUACUGUCUCGGAGAGGGGCUCGGUGAAAUAGACUUGUCUGUGAAGAUGCGGACUACCUGCACCUGGACAGAAAGACCCUAUGAAGCUUUACUGUAACUUGAAAUUGAAAUUGGACUUUAUUUGCGCAGUAUAGGUGGGAGGCGUUGAGUUAAUUCUUGCGGGAAUUUAGGAGCCAUCAGUGAGAUACCACUCUGGUAAUGUUAGAUUUCUAACUUUGUAUCAUAAUCUGGUCAAAGAACAGUUUCAGGCGGGCAGUUUGACUGGGGCGGUCGCCUCCCAAAUGGUAACGGAGGCGUACAAAGGUUUCCUCUGAACGUGUAGAAAUCGUAUCUAGAGUGUAAAGGCAUAAGGAAGCUUGACUGUGAGACUUACAAGUCGAGCAGGGACGAAAGUCGGUCUUAGUGAUCUGACGGUGCUGAGUGGAAAGGCCGUCACUCAACGGAUAAAAGUUACUCUAGGGAUAACAGGCUGAUCUCCCCCAAGAGUUCACAUCGACGGGGAGGUUUGGCACCUGGAUGUCGGCUCAUCGCAUCCUGGGGCGGUAGUACGUCCCAAGGGUUGGGCUGUUCGCCCAUGAAAGCGGUACGCGAGCUGGGUUCAGAACGUCGUGAGACAGUUCGGUCCAUAUCCGGUGUAGGCGUUAGAAUAUUGAGAGGAGCCUUCUUUAGUACGAGAGGACCGAGAAGGACAUACCUCUGGUGUACCAGUUAUCAUGCCAAUGGUAAACGCUGGGUAGCUAUGUAUGGAGAGGAUAACCGCUGAAAGCAUCUAAGUGGGAAGCCCACCUCAAGAUAAGUAUUCU
rnacentral:rRNA from 1 species